GACGAACGCUGGCGGCGUGCUUAACACAUGCAAGUCGAGCGGAAAGGCCCUUUCGGGGGUACUCGAGCGGCGAACGGGUGAGUAACACGUGAGUAAUCUGCCCUGGACUCUGGGAUAGCCACCGGAAACGGUGAUUAAUACCGGAUAUGACACCUUGCUGCAUGGUGGGGUGUGGAAAGUUUUUUCGGUCCAGGAUGUGCUCGCGGCCUAUCAGCUUGUUGGUGAAGUAAUGGCUCACCAAGGCUUUGACGGGUAGCCGGCCUGAGAGGGUGACCGGUCACACUGGGACUGAGACACGGCCCAGACUCCUACGGGAGGCAGCAGCGGGGAAUAUUGGACAAUGGGCGGAAGCCUGAUUCAGCAACGCCGCGUGAGGGAUGACGGCCUUCGGGUUGUAAACCUCUUUCAGUACCGACGAAGCGUGAGUGACGGUAGGUACAGAAGAAGGACCGGCCAACUACGUGCCAGCCGCCGCCGUAAAAC
rnacentral:rRNA from 1 species